GACGAACGCUGGCGGCGUGCUUAACACAUGCAAGUCGAGCGGUAAGGCCCUUUGGGGUACACGAGCGGCGAACGGGUGAGUAACACGUGAGUAAUCUGCCUUUGGCUUGGGAAUAACUUCGGGAAAUCGGGGCUAAUGCCUGAUGUUUACUGUCUGCUGCAUGGUGGGUGGUGGAAAGAUUUUUUGGCCAGGGAUGAGCUCGCGGUCUAUCAGCUUGUUGGUGGGGUAAUGGCUACCAAGGCUUUGACGGGUAGCCGGCCUGAGAGGGCGACCGGCCACACUGGGACUGAGACACGGCCCAGACUCCUACGGGAGGCAGCAGUGGGGAAUCUUGCGCAAUGGGCGAAAGCCUGACGCAGCGACGCCGCGUGAGGGAUGACGGCCU
rnacentral:rRNA from 1 species